GCGAACGGGUGAGUAACACGUGGGCAAUCUGCCCUUCACUCUGGGACAAGCCCUGGAAACGGGGUCUAAUACCGGAUACGAGUUCGGGAGGCAUCUCCCGGACUGGAAAGCUCCGGCGGUGAAGGAUGAGCCCGCGGCCUAUCAGCUUGUUGGUGGGGUAAUGGCCUACCAAGGCGACGACGGGUAGCCGGCCUGAGAGGGCGACCGGCCACACUGGGACUGAGACACGGCCCAGACUCCUACGGGAGGCAGCAGUGGGGAAUAUUGCACAAUGGGCGAAAGCCUGAUGCAGCGACGCCGCGUGAGGGAUGACGGCCUUCGGGUUGUAAACCUCUUUCAGCAGGGAAGAAGCGAGAGUGACGGUACCUGCAGAAGAAGCGCCGGCUAACUACGUGCCAGCAGCCGCGGUAAUACGUAGGGCGCAAGCGUUGUCCGGAAUUAUUGGGCGUAAAGAGCUCGUAGGCGGCUUGUCACGUCGGGUGUGAAAGCCCGGGGCUUAACCCCGGGUCUGCAUCCGAUACGGGCAGGCUAGAGUGUGGUAGGGGAGAUCGGAAUUCCUGGUGUAGCGGUGAAAUGCGCAGAUAUCAGGAGGAACACCGGUGGCGAAGGCGGAUCUCUGGGCCAUUACUGACGCUGAGGAGCGAAAGCGUGGGGAGCGAACAGGAUUAGAUACCCUGGUAGUCCA
rnacentral:rRNA from 1 species